GAGUUGGGCCUGCUCGGUGAAACGUUUUAACAGCUGCGGUAUUUUAACUGUACUAAGGUAGCAUAAUAAUUUGCCUUAUAAUUUGAGGCUAGAAUGAAUGGUUUGACGAAGGUUAAUCUGUCUCUGCUUUAUUUUUUAGAAAUUAAUUUUCAUAGUGAAAAAGCUUGAAUUUCUUAAGGGGACGAGAAGACCCUACUGAGCUUAUAAUUUUAUUAUCACAUAUAUUUAUGUAUAAUGUGCUAUAUAAAUUUUAAUUGGGGUGAUUAAGGAAUAAUAUAGCUAUUUUAUAACUUCCUUAGAUAUUAUAUUGUUGAAUUAAGUAACCGAUUAAUUAAUAGAAUUGUAUUAUGUAUUGCUUAUAAUAUAGUUACCAUAGGGAUAACAGCGUAAUUUACUUAGAGAGUUCUUAUUGAAAAGUAAGAUUGCGACCUCGAUGUUGGAUUAAAGUAACCUUAAGGUGCAGAAGCUUUAUAAGGUAAAUCUGUUCGAUUUUUAAAACUUU
rnacentral:rRNA from 1 species